UGGGGAAUCUUCCGCAAUGGACGAAAGUCUGACGGAGCAACGCCGCGUGUAUGAUGAAGGUCUUCGGAUUGUAAAGUACUGUCAUUGGGGAAGAACGGUUUUCUUGAAAAGAUUGAGAAGACAUGACGGUACCCAAGGAGGAAGCCCCGGCUAACUACGUGCCAGCAGCCGCGGUAAUACGUAGGGGGCAAGCGUUUGUCCGGAAUUAUUGGGCGUAAAGGGCGCGUAGGCGGGCCUUUAAGUCCGGUGUGAAAGAUCAGGGCUCAACCCUGAGAGUGCAUCGGAAACUGGAGGCCUUGAGGACAGGAGAGGAAAGUGGAAUUCCACGUGUAGCGGUGAAAUGCGUAGAUAUGUGGAGGAACACCAGUGGCGAAGGCGACUUUCUGGACUGUAACUGACGCUGAGGCGCGAAAGCGUGGGGAGCAAACAGGAUUAGAUACCCUGGUAGUCCACGCCGUAAACGAUGAGUGCUAGGUGUAGAGGGUAUCGACCCCCUUCUGUGCCGCAGUUAACACAAUAAGCACUCCGCCUGGGGAGUACGGCCNCAAGGUUGAAACUCAAAGGAAUUGAC
rnacentral:rRNA from 1 species